rnacentral:rRNA from 1 species
UACGUAGGGUGCAGGCGUUAAUCGGAAUUACUGGGCGUAAAGCGUGCGUAGGUGGUUUGUUAAGACAGGUGUGAAAUCCCCGGGCUUAACCUGGGAACUGCGCUUGUUACUGGCAGACUAGAGUGUGGCAGAGGGGGGUGGAAUUCCAGGUGUAGCAGUGAAAUGCGUAGGUAUCUGGAGGAACACCGAUGGCGAAGGCAGCCCCCUGGGCUAACACUGACGCUGAUGCACGAAAGCGUGGGGAGCAAACAGG